UACCACAAGGGGAGCUAAUGGCUGAGAGUGAACGUUGGAGUUCUGACCCUAUGAACCUGUUAGUUAAUGCUAGCGUAGGGAUGUGAUUAUG
rnacentral:ncRNA from 1 species